ACUUGAGUGCAGAAGAGGACAGUGGAACUCCAUGUGUAGCGGUGAAAUGCGUAGAUAUAUGGAAGAACACCAGUGGCGAAGGCGGCUGUCUGGUCUGUAACUGACGCUGAGGCUCGAAAGUAUGGGUAGCAAACAGGAUUAGAUACCCUGGUAGUCCAUACCGUAAACGAUGAAUGCUAAGUGUUGGAGGGUUUCCGCCCUUCAGUGCUGCAGCUAACGCAUUAAGCAUUCCGCCUGGGGAGUACGGCCGCAAGGCUGAAACUCAAAGGAAUUGACGGGGGCCCGCACAAGCGGUGGAGCAUGUGGUUUAAUUCGAAGCUACGCGAAGAACCUUACCAGGUCUUGACAUACUAUGCAAAUCUAAGAGAUUAGACGUUCCCUUCGGGGACAUGGAUACAGGUGGUGCAUGGUUGUCGUCAGCUCGUGUCGUGAGAUGUUGGGUUAAGUCCCGCAACGAGCGCAACCCUUAUUAUCAGUUGCCAGCAUUAAGUUGGGCACUCUGGUGAGACUGCCGGUGACAAACCGGAGGAAGGUGGGGAUGACGUCAAAUCACCAUGCCCCUUAUGACCUGGGCUACACACGUGCUACAAUGGAUGGUACAACGAGUUGCGAACUCGCGAGAGUAAGCUAAUCUCUUAAAGCCAUUCUCAGUUCGGAUUGUAGGCUGCAACUCGCCUACAUGAAGUCGGAAUCGCUAGUAAUCGCGGAUCAGCAUGCCGCGGUGAAUACGUUCCCGGGCCUUGUACACACCGCCCGUCACACCAUGAGAGUUUGUAACACCCAAAGUCGGUGGGGUAACCUUUUAGGAACCAGCCGCCUAAGGUGGGACAGAUGAUUAGGGUGAAGUCGUAACAAGGUAACCGUA
rnacentral:rRNA from 1 species